rnacentral:piRNA from 1 species
UGCAAAUCAAAGUAACUCUGAAAUUCCAU